CUGCAAGGCAAGCUGAAUCAUGGCCAAGAGGUGCUCUCCUUUCCUCUGCAUGUUUGCGACGACGAUCGCCCUGGCUGUCAUCUUCUCCAGCUCCGUCGUCGUCGACUGCUCGGAGGUCAAAGAACUGAACACGCAUGCGGAUGCAGAUGACUCGGCUGCAAUUCCGGACGGAGGGCACGGGGGCUGGGCGCCGCCGGCGCCGCAGCCGGGGCUACGUGCACCACGAGUGCCCCGACCCGGAACCCGAGUGCAGACACCCAGGCGGCGGCGCUCCACCUUCGCCGCCCGCGCCGCCAGUUGCGCCGCACAGGAAGAUCGGCCGGAGCGGGUAGGGACGCCAGUGAUUACUGAUUAAGUGAUUAGCGGUCUGAUGACUGAUGAACUGAUACCCUCUUACUACCACCACGCCUUGUGAUAAGCAUGUACUCGUACAAUAUGAUCGAUGCUGUAGUGCUGUAUGCCAUACCGUUUUCGGCCUGUUGCCUGAGACACGGCUUCAUAACCCCAAGAAAACAUUUCGUGUUUAGCAUCA